UGAUAUUAUGUACCAAAGGAUGUGGCUGGAAAAAGAAUUGACAUACUGCGGUAGCAUACAGGUCAUAAAUAUCUCAUGAAAAUGACAAACUCUUUAUUUUCAAAUAUCAGACUUGAUACCACAAAAACACAUUUAAUGAGAACAUAGACACAAUUUUGACAAUUUUACAGCAGCAGUGCUACACAUCAGAAACAACAAUUUAAUUAUAACAAGGAUGGUAGCAAAUCCUCACAUACUGAACUCCAAAUAUAUAUGCUCCUUCAACAAGUUAUCAAUAAUCUUCACCUUCCUCUUCAU
rnacentral:misc_RNA from 1 species